GGCUUAGUGGUGGAUGGUCCCCACCUGCUUCUUGUAUAAGCUUCUCUGAGAUGCUAGUGGGAGAAGCCUGUUCGAAUCAGGCCUGAGCCA